rnacentral:rRNA from 1 species
GUGCCAGCCGCCGCGGUCAUACCGGCAGCCCAAGUGAUGGCCGAUCUUAUUGGGCCUAAAGCGUCCGUAGCUGGCCGCGCAAGUCCAUCGGAAAAUCCACCCGCCCAACGGGUGGGCGUCCGGUGGAAACUGCGUGGCUUGGGACCGGAGGACCCGAGGGGUACGUCCGGGGUAGGAGUGAAAUCCCGUAAUCCCGGACGGACCGCCGGUGGCGAAAGCGCCUCGGGAGGACGGAUCCGACGGUGAGGGACGAAAGCUAGGGUCUCGAACCGGAUUAGAUACCCGAGUAGUCC